rnacentral:rRNA from 1 species
CUGGCGGCGUGCCUAACACAUGCAAGUCGAACGAAGCACUGCGGAUGGAGAUUCGUCAAAAUCUGCUUUGACUUAGUGGCGGACGGGUGAGUAAUGUGUGAGCAACCUGCCUUUCAGAGGGGGACAACAGUUGGAAACGACUGCUAAUACCGCAUAAUGUAUUGGAAGGGCAUCCUUUUGAUACCAAAGGAGCAAUCCGCUGAAAGAUGGGCUCACAUCUGAUUAGCUAGUUGGUGGGGUAACGGCCUACCAAGGCUGCGAUCAGUAGCCGGACUGAGAGGUUGAACGGCCACAUUGGGACUGAGAUGCGGCCCAGACUCCUACGGGAGGCAGCAGGUGGGGAAUAUUGGGCAAUGGGACGAAAGCCUCGACCCAGCAACGCCGCGUGAAGGAAGAAGGUCUUCGGAUUGUAAACUUCUUUUAUGAGGGACGAAGGACGUGACGGUACCUCAUGAAUAAGCCACGGCUAACUACGUGCCAGCCGCGGC